rnacentral:rRNA from 1 species
AACGAACGCUGGCGGCGCGUCUUAAACAUGCAAGUCGAACGGCAGGAAGGGGCUUGCCCCUUCUGAGAGUGGCGGACUGGUGAGUAACACGUGGGUGACAUACCUUUUAGUUGGGGAUAGCUAUUAGAAAUAGUAGGUAAUACCGAAUGUGACCGUACCUGUUAGAGGGGUACGAGGAAAGGAGCUAAGGCUUCGCUAAAAGAAUGGCUCGCGGCCCAUUAUGCUCGUCGGUGAGGUAACGGCCCACCAAGGCGAUGAUGGGUAUCCGGCCUGAGAGGGUGAACGGACACAUUGGGACUGAGAUACGGCCCAGACUUCUACGGGAGGCAGCAGUUAAGAAUAUUCCGCAAUGGACGAAAGUCUGACGGAGCGACGCCGCGUGGAUGAAGAAUGCCGAAAGGUUGUAAAAUCCUUUUAAGCCUGAUGAAUAAGCACAGUAGGGAAUGAUUGUGCGGUGACCGUAGGGCUUGAAUAAGCACCGGCUAAUUACGUG